GAUGAACGCUGGCGGCGUGCCUAAUACAUGCAAGUCGAGCGAACGGAUAAGGAGCUUGCGCCUUUGACGUUAGCGGCGGACGGGUGAGUAACACGUGCGUAACCUAUCUCUAUGUCGGGAAUAACUCCGGGAGACCGGGGCUACUGCCGGCUAACAUGUUGUACCGGUUGGUUCCACGGUGAAAGGCGGCUUUGCCGUCACUUAUAGAUGGACCCGGGCCGGAUUAGCUAGGUGGUGAGGUAACAGCUCACCAAGGCAACGAUACGUAGCCGACCUGAGAGGGUGAUCGGCCACACUGGGACUGAGACACGGUCCAGACUCCCACGGGAGGCAGGAGUAGGGAAUUUUCGGCAAAGGGCGGAAACCUGACGCAGCAACGCCGGGUGAGUGAUAAAGGGCUUCGGAUCGUAAAACUCUGUUAUUAGGGAAAAACAAAUGCGUAGGUAACUGUGCGCUGCUUGACGGUACCUAAUCAGAAAACCACGGCUAACUACGUG
rnacentral:rRNA from 1 species